ensembl:lncRNA
UCCGAAUUGGCACCCGCUGCUGCAUUUACCUCUGCUGGUUUUGGCCAACGACAUUUCUUAUCUGCAUGUCCCAAUUACACAACAAAACGUGUUUACAUACCGAUGCGCCUCAUAUUCGAUAGCCUACACCCCCGCGCAAGCGCCCACCACUGUUCUUAUGUGCAGUCACUGGAUUCAGACUGCACGGGUGUGAAAGGAGAUGCAAUGAUGGCUACCGCUGCAGAAGAACUAUGCCAAUCCCCUUGUCCCAUUUCUGAGCGCAAUGUCACGACAGUUUCCAUCAAAAUUACGAGGAAAAACCAGGAUAAACCCUGGAAAUUGAGAUUAAUUUACCUGCAGUGUUAUUGUAUGUCAAUUGCAACCAUACUGGGAACUGGAAUCUUAGGACUUCCUGUCACAAUAGCACAUGCUGGACUUGUGCCUUUCCUGGUCUCCUUUAUAAUUGGUUUCUUUGUGCAGGCUCUCCUCAUAUACCUAUUUGUUGACCUACUCCAGCGAUGCGAAGUUGCCCAAAUUGAGUCACUAAAGAGCACAGAGACUGAGCGGAUUUUAUUACAAGACAUUGGGUUGGAGGAGCCUGCUGUCACUAACACAGAAGAGGAUGAUGAUGAAGGUGACGAAGCAGACACUGGCCUACUGCAGAAGGACGCAGCCAGCUGCCAGACACCGGAGGAGAAGCUGCACCCUAAUCUCCAUGUGUUGGGAGUCCUCUUCCUCAGCAAGCCCAUGAGCCAUGCCUUCAACUUCAUCCUGCUCUUCCAGUUUGUGUCAAUUGGGAUCAGCUAUGUCCUGGCUGGCAGUGAGGCCUACGCUGUGAUUCUAGAUCUGAGUGCAGACAGCCCUAACACUGAUGACUUGAGCUGUCAUGAAACAAGACUAUUUUGAGAACAUAUUAAAUGUAUUUGUCAAAUGUUAUACAUGUAGGCCUGCAGCAAAUUGUAACAAUGUUUGUAGACACUACGAUGUAAGGAAAGCAUAACUUAGACCAUUUACCAUGAUGUUCAGAAAUGAUUGAAAAAAACAGUUUUAUGUGUUUUAUUUAUUUAUUUCUUAGAUUCAAGAAGGGAAAAUUUUGUGCCUCAUGUUUUCGGUGAUUUUGGAAGACUUUAUAUCUUUAACGUUUCCAUCUUUAAAAAGCUUUGCUUUUAACAACUUAUUCCUUUUAUCAUUACUCUGGAAGUUUUACUUUAAACUCAUAUUUGAGAUUGCUUCACCAACUACUAGUGCUUCUGAAAGGAUUAUGGCCUCUGAAUGUUUGAGAAAAAUGUAUUUUCACAAAACUUGAAACAGUACAACUGAGGAAUUCUCUCAUUAUAUUUUGCCUAUAGGCAGGGUGAUCUGGAGACUCUUUUUUUGAAGAACAAACACUGGUUUUACAAGAAUAGCAAAACAGGAAGAGUACAUUCUUCAGUAUCUGAGAUUUUUGUGGAUAGCGCAGAAACAAAACUUUUGUUUUCUUACCACACUUAUCAAGUUCUUGCCCUUCUCAGUUGAUUGAUAGAAUUGUUUUACCUUGAAAAUAACACUCUUGUCAUAUUGUCCUAUAUUGAUAAUAAAACAUGGAGGAUAUUAAUAUUAUCUAUUCCUAUGUGCUUGUUUUUCACCAACAGUUUAGAACUCAAAGGUGCUCUUUUAUGGUGUAUAGAUGGUCA